rnacentral:lncRNA from 1 species
AGGCAAAGCAAAGCAAGGGCUCAGAACCAAAGUAGUCUGCCUGUGAAGCCCAUGCCCUACACCCUCUGUGAAUUGCCUCACAGCACAGACAAGGGGAGAGAAUAUUUCACUGUAGCCUUCACAGAGCCUAUGACCUGCUAAUCUUGAUUUGUUACUUGUGUUUUAUUCUCUUGGUAGAGAAUUCACUCAUCUGUCCUGAAGUCCAAAUAAUUGUAUUGCCAUCCGCUCCAAGUGUGGAUGUGUGGCGGGCCUGGGAAGCCACAGAGGAGAACAUUGUUCUUACCCUGCCAUUCAGGUCAUAUUUUCCAGCCAGACUGGGACCAGUGAAGUUUUCUUGAACACAGCACAAUGGAGGAGGAAUGGCCUUUGCUACCUCACCUGGACCACAAGGAAAAAGGAAACCAAAGACUUUAGUCCAACCCAGUGUGAACCACUUCCCCUCAAUCCCCAGCUAAACCACCCUGCAUGAGUACUCUAGUUGCAAAGGAAACCAGGUAAACUUCUGAUGUUUUGGAGUAAAUCUGUUGUAUUUCAUUAGAGGAACAACUCGGCAGCACU